UACGUAGGGGGCAAGCGUUGUCCGGAUUUAUUGGGCGUAAAGAGCGUGUAGGCGGCCAGGUAGGUCCGUUGUGAAAACUCGAGGCUCAACCUCGAGACGUCGGCGGAAACCCUCUGGCUAGAGUCCGGAAGAGGAGAGUGGAAUUCCUGGUGUAGCGGUGAAAUGCGCAGAUAUCAGGAAGAACACCCGUGGCGAAGGCGGCUCUCUGGGACGGUACUGACGCUGAGACGCGAAAGCGUGGGGAGCAAACAGA
rnacentral:rRNA from 1 species